rnacentral:rRNA from 2 species
AGCGAACGCUGGCGGCAGGCUUAACACAUGCAAGUCGAGCGGGCAUCCUUGUGGUGUCAGCGGCAGACGGGUGAGUAACGCGUGGGAACGUGCCCUUCGGUUCGGAAUAACUCAGGGAAACUUGAGCUAAUACCGGAUACGCCCUUCUGGGGAAAGGCUUGCUGCCGAAGGAUCGGCCCGCGUCUGAUUAGCUGGUUGGUGAGGUUACGGCUCACCAAGGCGACGAUCAGUAGCUGGUCUGAGAGGAUGAUCAGCCACACUGGGACUGAGACACGGCCCAGACUCCUACGGGAGGCAGCAGUGGGGAAUAUUGGACAAUGGGGGCAACCCUGAUCCAGCCAUGCCGCGUGAGUGAUGACGGCCUUAGGGUUGUAAAGCUCUUUUCUCCGGGACGAUAAUGACGGUACCGGAGGAAUAAGCCCCGGCUAACUUCGUG